GCAUAUUUUAUAACACUGUCUGGAUCCUGCACCAGAUACAUCUAUGUGCCUUUUCAGACCCAGAAGUAGAUUUUUAAAUGUUAAAAGUGUUUGUUUUUUGUGUGUCCCCCCUCCCCAGUUUUUUUCUUGGUGGUUGGAUGUACCACUCCUGUCCCUUUAUUCCCAACCACCCAGUCUUAACAAUAUAGAUUUGUUCCAUCCAGUCCUAAUAAUACGGAGUUGUUCCAUUCAGUCUUAACAAUACAGAAUUGUUUUAUUUUCUUGAUGGAUGUAGCUGAUAGAGAUUCCAAGUCAUGGACUCUAUUAGAAAUAAUUAUCUUGAAGGUUAAAAUUGAAUUUUAAAACAUGCAUGAUAAAAGCAAUUGCAUUUAAUUUAUGCUUGUGCAAAAGGAAUAAUUUGAUUUAUAGCAUUAUAUCCUAGAAAGAUAAUUCUACAUAGUCUACAACUUGAAUCUAAUUAGAACACUCCGGUAUUAUAGAAAUGCAUUCCACACAGAGUAGCUUCUGUAUUUAUCAGAUAAACAGUAUAAGACGUGGACUAAGGAUCUAUUUAAGGUUUCAAGACACUGAAAGGUAAGCACUUUAAUAAUUCUAAAAUGAUUUUACUUUUCAUAUAUAGAAAAAUGGAAGAAUACUAACAUAUAUAUUUAAUUUUCAGUUUUAUUUUGAUUUCACCUGGAAGUAUUAGAAACUUCUCAAAGAGCCCUAUUUGAAACAAAAUUGUAACAACUUCAUUGAAAGGUCCUCCAACUUUUUGAAGAAUGCUAUCAGUAUAAACGUUGGGAGGUAAAAAGAGUGAGGGGAGUGGGAGGAGAGUGCAUUGGGUUUUGGUUGCUGUUUUGCCACCAGCAGUCCUGAACACUAGACCAACUCUGUGGAAUUUAUUUCUGCUUCGAUGGAUGUAUCAGGACCAGAAUUGAUUUUCUUAGAAAAGAAUGAAAUUUAUCCCAGUGCCUAAAAGCUUAGUUCUGCAGAUGUACAACAGGCUUGUUAGGAAGUAUCAUAAAGCCUCUCCAGGACAUGCAGGUUCAGCUGCCCCAAACUACAAUAUCAAGGGUCACAUUUUACCUCCAGUUAAAUUUAUACAACUCCAGGGGAAGCAGCAGAGGACAGGAAUUCCGUCAUAAUUUGAAUUAACUAAAAACCUGCUUUCUGGAGAAAGAAACAAAUGAUAAGGAAUUGGAUACUACUUCAGACGUGAUAUUAAUAUGUCUUCAUGUAGCAACUAAAGGAGGAAGCUAACAACUUUUCUUCUGUACUUGAGCACAUCUGCACAUCUAAAAUUAGAAACUGUCCCUAGCAGACAUUGAGCUAUGGCUCCAUAUUUAGAAGCUAUUGACUCAGUUGUUCAACCUGUUUACUUGCUCAAAUAUAAAACGGUCUUUUAAAUUGCCGAAACAGAUUGUAGAGAAAAUUGGCAGAAGAUGUUAACAACAAGGCCCAGAGCUCCAUUUGUAGGAUUCACAGCAUACAGCCUGCAGAUACUCGUCUCUAAGGGCUUUUUUCCAUUCACCGAAUCCAAGUGAAGGGGAAGAAUAGCAUGUAAUGAAACAAGAAAAAUUGACAACAUCAUCAGGAUCUGCAUUUCACAAAACCAACCAUGGCACAUCAACGAAGGGACUGGAAGCAAUCACUGUGAAACUAUAUCCAUCGACAUAAGGAUAUCUUUCAGUUUCUUUGCAGCUGGAAUCAGUGAUUUCAUACUGAAAAAG